rnacentral:rRNA from 1 species
UGCAGUCGAGGGGUAUUGCAGCAAUGCAAGAGACCGGCGCACGGGUGCGUAACGCGUAUGCAACCUACCUUUCACAGAGGGAUAGCCCAGAGAAAUUUGGAUUAAUACCUCAUGGUAUAUAUAGAUGGCAUCAUCCUUAUAUUAAAGUCACAACGGUGAAAGAUGGGCAUGCGUCCCAUUAGCUAGAUGGUAAGGUAACGGCUUACCAUGGCAACGAUGGGUAGGGGUCCUGAGAGGGAGAUCCCCCACACUGGUACUGAGACACGGACCAGACUCCUACGGGAGGCAGCAGUGAGGAAUAUUGGACAAUGGGCGCAAGCCUGAUCCAGCCAUGCCGCGUGCAGGAUGAAGCAUCUAUGGUGUGUAAACUGCUUUUAUACGGGAAGAAACACCGAUUCGUGAAUCGGCUUGACGGUACCGUAAGAAUAAGGACCGGCUAACUCCGUGCCAGCAGCCGCGGUAAUACGGAGGGUCCAAGCGUUAUCCGGAAUCAUUGGGUUUAAAGGGUCCGUAGGCGGGCCUGUAAGUCAGUGGUGAAAUCUCCCCGCUCAACGGGGAAACGGCCAUUGAUACUGCAGGUCUUGAAUUAUUAGGAAGUAACUAGAAUAUGUAGUGUAGCGGUGAAAUGCUUAGAGAUUACAUGGAAUACCAAUUGCGAAGGCAGGUUACUACUAAUGGAUUGACGCUGAUGGACGAAAGCGUGGGUAGCGAACAGGAUUAGAUACCCUGGUAGUCCACGCCGUAAACGAUGGAUACUAGCUGUUGGGAGCAAUCUCAGUGGCUAAGCGAAAGUGAUAAGUAUCCCACCUGGGGAGUACGGGCGCAAGCCUGAAACUCAAGGAAUUGACGGGGGC